UACGGAGGGUGCAAGCGUUAAUCGGAAUUACUGGGCGUAAAGCGCGCGUAGACGGUUUUGUAAGUCAGAUGUGAAAUCCCUGGGCUCAACCUGGGAACUGCAUUUGAGACUGCAUGGCUAGAGUAUCGAAGAGGGAAGUGGAAUUUCCGGUGUAGCGGUGAAAUGCGUAGAUAUCGGGAGGAACACCAGUGGCGAAGGCGGCGACCUGGUUCAAUACUGACGCUGAGGUGCGAAAGCGUGGGGAGCAAACAGG
rnacentral:rRNA from 1 species